AGCGAACGCUGGCGGCAGGCUUAACACAUGCAAGUCGAGCGGGCCCUUCGGGGUCAGCGGCAGACGGGUGAGUAACGCGUGGGAACGUACCCUUUGGUUCGGAAUAACCCUGGGAAACUAGGGCUAAUACCGGAUAAGCCCUUUUGGGGAAAGGUUUACUGCCGAAGGAUCGGCCCGCGUCUGAUUAGCUUGUUGGUGGGGUAAUGGCCUACCAAGGCGACGAUCAGUAGCUGGUCUGAGAGGAUGAUCAGCCACACUGGGACUGAGACACGGCCCAGACUCCUACGGGAGGCAGCAGUGGGGAAUAUUGGACAAUGGGCGCAAGCCUGAUCCAGCCAUGCCGCGUGAGUGAUGAAGGCCUUAGGGUUGUAAAGCUCUUUUGUCCGGGACGAUAAUGACGGUACCGGAAGAAUAAGCCCCGGCUAACUUCGUGCCAGCAGCCGCGGUAA
rnacentral:rRNA from 1 species